GUGUGGGUGGCUCAGUCGGUUGAGUGCCUGACUUCAGCUCAGGUCAUGAACUGGCACUUUGUGGGUUCAAGUCCCACAUCAGGCU
rnacentral:tRNA from 1 species